GGGUUGUGAGGUUAAGCGACUAAGCGUACACGGUGGAUGCCCUGGCAGUCAGAGGCGAUGAAGGACGUGCUAAUCUGCGAUAAGCGUCGGUAAGGUGAUAUGAACCGUUAUAACCGGCGAUUUCCGAAUGGGGAAACCCAGUGUGAUUCGUCACACUAUCGUUAACUGAAUACAUAGGUUAACGAAGCGAACCGGGGGAACUGAAACAUCUAAGUACCCCGAGGAAAAGAAAUCAACCGAGAUUCCCCCAGUAGCGGCGAGCGAACGGGGAGGAGCCCAGAGCCUGAAUCAGCAUGUGUGUUAGUGGAAGCGUCUGGAAAGGCGCGCGAUACAGGGUGACAGCCCCGUACACAAAAGCGCAUGUGCU
rnacentral:rRNA from 1 species